CAGCUGGCUUUCGGAACGACAGGAGACCUAAGUUCAGUUGCUAACGCUGCUUAGGGUUCGGCUUUACUCUCAUAAUGGCAGAUUGCACAUUUAUGCUGACUCAAAUUCUGUUCAUCUCCUGGUUUUUGAUGGCGCAUUGCUCACAACCCAACUGUGCAUCUGUGGAAGACUUUAAAGAUUGCCUAGGAAACACAACAGGUUUCUGCCCAAAGUCUAUUGCUUGUGCAUGCAAGGAUGGCAAGCCUUUCUAGAUGUCCAAAUUUCAGAGGCCAGUGGGGAGACUACUGGUACAUGGGAGAGAAAUGUGAACAACUCUGGAACACUCUGGACCUGAUUUUAGUAGCAACAUUGCCUGGAAUAGCACUGGCUAUAAUCGUUGGUGUGGCAAUCCAGGUUAUCCAUUACUGUAAAGGGAAGUCAAAGAAGCAUGGAGAUCAUAACAGAGUGGAGAGGAGUAUGUCAGAACUUCGACCUCAGCAUAAUUCUGCAUAUGGUUUUGGUACUGAUAGAAAUCUUCCUCAACCUAAUCAAGGAGAGGUAAACACUGAAACUUAUUUGUUAAAUAAACAAUCCACGGAGUUUAUUCCACCGGGAAGCCUUUCCUGGAACUUCAUUUGCUCCAUCAUCACAAUUAUCCAGAACAAAUUCCAACUUAAUUGCUCAAGAAUGCAAAGAAGGCAAUCUUUACGACUAUUCAGAUCUUAACUGGAAUGGCUCUCCAGGACCAAGUAAUCCUGCAGUAAACUACGAAAACAAUCGUUCACCAUCCAUGUACAUGAAGCCAAGCUUUGAUUUUUCCACAACUGGGGUCCCAAGAGCAGCGUAUCCUCCAAAAGAAACUAAAUAUUCAAUUUAUGAAGGAUCAGAAACUCCUUACAAAAUUGGUCGUGCAAACAUGAGAUCCAACUACUAAUUUCCUCACGGAAAAAAAUAAAUGUGUGUAAGCCUACAUACACCAAUCAUGUUAUAUACCAAAAAACUACAAAUAUGAUUUCCAUGGUCCAAUACUUUGUUUUUCUUAUAAUUAUGAUAAUUGUUUUCUUUAGGUUUUGGAUUUUUUUCUUUGCUAGCCCCUCUUGAUGACUGUAAUGCAAAACUUUUAUUUCUUCUAUCCAAUUCCAUUAACUCAUCAGAUGAAGAUAUUCAUUAUCUCCAAAAUUUGACACAAUAUCUGUGUAUUUAUUGAUUGGAUUCUUUAGUAUGUUUAGUGAAAUGAAAUAAAAAAUAAGUUUCAAACAAACUGUUUAUAAAAAUAAUAAUAAAAGAAACCGGUGAGUAAAGGCACCUACUGGCA
rnacentral:lncRNA from 1 species